AUGUCAUACUGGUUAACGCUAAGCCACGUGAAGCCGGACACAAGGGCUACACUAAUCUUUGGGCUGGAGUAGCCUGUGGUUUUUAAGGCUUCGUGUCUCAUCGCGUUAAACGGUCGCAGAACGAUUUAUUUCUCUUUUUCACCUCGAUCUUUGGCCUCGUGUGAUUUACCAAAACCAACAUGUGAAGUUACAACGCUGACGAAGGAGUUUCAUCAGUAGAGUGUGUCCUGGUAAACGUGUGCUCGGAAACAUGCAGAUUACAGUAUUUACAGAGCCGACCUUGAGGCACCCACUGAUGGAUAAUCUGUUUACCUAAAAACAGCCCACCACAAUCCAUGUUUACCAGCUGUGAAAGUGCAGGCCAAAAAUCUUCCUUCACCUGUGGGCCUCUACCCACAUGUAGAUAAGCACUUCAGGAUAAACCUGCCUGUGAUCUGCUAAGAUGCACAGAUUCAACUCUGGCCCAUUGUCAUCCUAACACCUCAUCUGCCAUCAGUUUCGUUUAGUGUCGGUCUAUUGCAAAAGUUCUUAUAAACUUUAAAUGAGACUUUGUGUUAAGCAGGGGUUUCCAAACUUUUCAUUCAACAACAUAUUAAGCCCAGGAUACACAGCAGGAUUUUUGCAAUCCAAUAAGACCUUAUCACACUGUGUGACAAGGAUUGUUUAAACUUCAGUAGUAGACUGUCGAUGAAGACACCUAUUGCAUCUGAAGCUGCGACAUCUGUCAUCAACAUGCGCCAGUGGUAAACAAAUACAGGUAUGCAGGUCGUAGAAGCAA